GAUGAACGCCGGCGGCGUGCAUAACACAUUCAAGUCGAACGGAGUUAUAGGAGAGCUUGCUCGAAUAUAACUUAGUGGCGGACGGGUGAGUAACGCGUGAGCAACCUGCCUCUGUGUGGGGGAUAACGACGGGAAACUGUCGCUAAUACCGCAUAAAGUGACCAAUUCGCAUGGAUAAGGCCACCAAAGAUUUAUUGCACAGAGAUGGGCUCGCGUCUGAUUAGGUAGUUGGUGAGGUAACGGCUCACCAAGCCGACGAUCAGUAGCCGGACUGAGAGGUUGAACGGCCACAUUGGAACUGAGAAACGGUCCAGACUCCUACGGGAGGCAGCAGUGGGGAAUAUUGGGCAAUGGGCGAAAGCCUGACCCAGCGACGCCGCGUGAGGGAAGAAGGUCUUCGGAUUGUAAACCUCUGUUGACAGGGACGAAGAAAAUGACGGUACCUGUCGAGGAAGCCACGGCUAACUACGUGCCAGCAGCCGCCGUAAUAC
rnacentral:rRNA from 1 species